AGUGAACGCUGGCGGCGUGCUUAACACAUGCAAGUCGAACGAGAACGGAUUAUAGCUUGCUAUAAUUGUCAGCUAAGUGGCGCACGGGUGAGUAAUGUAUAGGUAAUAUGCCUCUUACUAAGGGAUAACAAAUGGAAACGUUUGCUAAUACCUUAUACUCCUUGUUAACAGAAGUUAAUAAGGGAAAGAUUUAUUGGUAAGAGAUUAGCCUGUAUUGUAUCAGUUAGUUGGUGGGGUAAUGGCUUACCAAGACUAUGACACAUAACUGGUUUGAGAGGAUGAUCAAUCACACUGGAACUGAGACACGGUCCAGACUCCUACGGGAGGCAGCAGUGGGGAAUAUUGCACAAUGGACGAAAGUCUGAUGCAGCAACGCCGCGUGGAGGAUGACACAUUUCGGUGCGUAAACUCCUUUUAUAUGAGAAGAUAAUGACGGUAUUAUAUGAAUAAGCACCUGCUAACUCCGUGCCAGCCGCCGCCGUAA
rnacentral:rRNA from 1 species